GACGACUUGUUGGUUGUUCUUUAAAAUUUUCCUUUUUUUUUAAUAAUCAUGUUAGACCGCAUAAACAGUAUCUGCGUCUUAAUUUAAUUGUUCAUCUGUCUUCCAUUAACCUGAGGAAUCUGCAUGCUAUAACAUAUAGAAGUUGUCGGUUGUUAUAUUGUCGGCUCAAGUUGCACUCAGCUCAGUGUUUUCCCUGGCAUAGAUUCCUUCCGUCUCUCUCAGGAGGCAGGAGUUCAUUGUUAGUGCAUGUUGCACUCAGCUCAGUGAUUUUUUCCCUGGCAUAGACCCCUUUCCUCUCACUUGCAGAAUGCAGGAGUUAAAUGGAUCCUCCCAUUCAAGAAGUCAACACAGUUAUCAUGAAACUAGUAGGUAUGCCUCAUCUUUCCAAGUUCCAGUGUUUUCUAUAAUGUUUGGACUCUGCAUAUAUGUAAAACCGAAAAUUUAUGUGGUCUCUGUUUCUCUCUCUAUCUCUCUCAUUAUGUAUCUAGGUAUAUUCUAACUAUUUAAGUUAAUUAGAUGGUAUUAUUAACCGGUUCUUUAUCGGCCUGGUAUAGGCGUAUAGCUAAAUCUGCAUGUAGGCAAUGAAAAUAGCAAAUGGCCUAAUUGUUUAACUUCACUUGUUUUGUUUACUCUAUAGCUGGACUAGAUCAUUUUAUCAUCCAUUAUUACAUACAUGAUCUAUCACUAUCAACAUGGUAAAAUGUUAAAUUCUUUUACUUUUCCAUACUGGGUCGAUGUUCGUGGAGUACAUGAGCGAGUACAUGAGUCUUGUGCGUAUUUGACUGUUUCAUGCUUACUUCAAAUCCAGCUGCCACUGUGUAAAAUGUAUUGAUCAAAACUGCUGGUUUUACCACUCCUGCUUAGUCAUCCAAAUAAUAGAAUGCUUGCUUUAAUGUUUAUUGCUUGUCAUUAUUUUAUUCAGAUCAAAAGGUCAAAUAGAUCCAUGUCUCCUUGGUCUGGAAGAACAAGAAUCUUCCAAUCUAUCACCUCAAAUAUCUUUUUAAUUCUUUCGCCUCAUAAGUCUCCUUCUCAUCCCUUUUAUUUUGAUUAUAAUUUUAUUCAACACUAAAUUUAGAUGAUACUAUUGUAGUCGAUAUGGUAAAGUAAUCAAUUAAACGGAAGUCAUGUGAGUAGCAGCAUACAUUACGUUUAGCUCAUCUGCAUGUUCUUUUUAUAAAAAUGCUUACUUGAUUAAUUGCGCAGAUAAUGGAGAUGUGUUGUGGAGUAAUGCGAUUGCCACUGCAUGAAUUCUUGCGUGACCUGUUGACAUUGCGUGUUGUAUGGGGGGAGAUAAGUCACUAGGAAAAUACCAUAACUUGUGAAAGAAAAAUACUAAAAUAAUCAAUAGGCUUUGCUGUUUUGGGAUCUCAGUGAAGUAAUCAGUAAAAUUACAAAUUGGUUUCAUUUGUGGUUUAUAUGAAGGGAUUUGACACAUUUUAAUGAGAUAAAACGUCAUAAAAUAGGAC
rnacentral:lncRNA from 1 species